UUAAGCGACUAAGCGUACACGGUGGAUGCCCUGGCAGUCAGAGGCGAUGAAGGACGUGCUAAUCUGCGAUAAGCGUCGGUAAGGUGAUAUGAACCGUUAUAACCGGCGAUUUCCGAAUGGGGAAACCCAGUGUGUUUCGACACACUAUCAUUAACUGAAUCCAUAGGUUAAUGAGGCGAACCGGGGGAACUGAAACAUCUAAGUACCCCGAGGAAAAGAAAUCAACCGAGAUUCCCCCAGUAGCGGCGAGCGAACGGGGAGCAGCCCAGAGCCUGAAUCAGUGUGUGUGUUAGUGGAAGCGUCUGGAAAGGCGCGCGAUACAGGGUGACAGCCCCGUACACAAAAAUGCACAUGCUGUGAGCUCGAUGAGUAGGGCGGGACACGUGGUAUCCUGUCUGAAUAUGGGGGGACCAUCCUCCAAGGCUAAAUACUCCUGACUGACCGAUAGUGAACCAGUACCGUGAGGGAAAGGCGAAAAGAACCCCGGCGAGGGGAGUGAAAAAGAACCUGAAACCGUGUACGUACAAGCAGUGGGAGCACGCUUAGGCGUGUGACUGCGUACCUUUUGUAUAAUGGGUCAGCGACUUAUAUUCUGUAGCAAGGUUAACCGAAUAGGGGAGCCGAAGGGAAACCGAGUCUUAACUGGGCGUUAAGUUGCAGGGUAUAGACCCGAAACCCGGUGAUCUAGCCAUGGGCAGGUUGAAGGUUGGGUAACACUAACUGGAGGACCGAACCGACUAAUGUUGAAAAAUUAGCGGAUGACUUGUGGCUGGGGGUGAAAGGCCAAUCAAACCGGGAGAUAGCUGGUUCUCCCCGAAAGCUAUUUAGGUAGCGCCUCGUGAAUUCAUCUCCGGGGGUAGAGCGCUGUUUCGGCAAGGGGGUCAUCCCGACUUACCAACCCGAUGCAAACUGCGAAUACCGGAGAAUGUUAUCACGGGAGACACACGGCGGGUGCUAACGUCCGUCGUGAAGAGGGAAACAACCCAGACCGCCAGCUAAGGUCCCAAAGUCAUGGUUAAGUGGGAAACGAUGUGGGAAGGCCCAGACAGCCAGGAUGUUGGCUUAGAAGCAGCCAUCAUUUAAAGAAAGCGUAAUAGCUCACUGGUCGAGUCGGCCUGCGCGGAAGAUGUAACGGGGCUAAACCAUGCACCGAAGCUGCGGCAGCGACACUAUGUGUUGUUGGGUAGGGGAGCGUUCUGUAAGCCUGUGAAGGUGUGCUGUGAGGCAUGCUGGAGGUAUCAGAAGUGCGAAUGCUGACAUAAGUAACGAUAAAGCGGGUGAAAAGCCCGCUCGCCGGAAGACCAAGGGUUCCUGUCCAACGUUAAUCGGGGCAGGGUGAGUCGACCCCUAAGGCGAGGCCGAAAGGCGUAGUCGAUGGGAAACAGGUUAAUAUUCCUGUACUUGGUGUUACUGCGAAGGGGGGACGGAGAAGGCUAUGUUGGCCGGGCGACGGUUGUCCCGGUUUAAGCGUGUAGGCUGGUUUUCCAGGCAAAUCCGGAAAAUCAAGGCUGAGGCGUGAUGACGAGGCACUACGGUGCUGAAGCAACAAAUGCCCUGCUUCCAGGAAAAGCCUCUAAGCAUCAGGUAACAUCAAAUCGUACCCCAAACCGACACAGGUGGUCAGGUAGAGAAUACCAAGGCGCUUGAGAGAACUCGGGUGAAGGAACUAGGCAAAAUGGUGCCGUAACUUCGGGAGAAGGCACGCUGAUAUGUAGGUGAAGCGACUUGCUCGUGGAGCUGAAAUCAGUCGAAGAUACCAGCUGGCUGCAACUGUUUAUUAAAAACACAGCACUGUGCAAACACGAAAGUGGACGUAUACGGUGUGACGCCUGCCCGGUGCCGGAAGGUUAAUUGAUGGGGUCAGCGCAAGCGAAGCUCUUGAUCGAAGCCCCGGUAAACGGCGGCCGUAACUAUAACGGUCCUAAGGUAGCGAAAUUCCUUGUCGGGUAAGUUCCGACCUGCACGAAUGGCGUAAUGAUGGCCAGGCUGUCUCCACCCGAGACUCAGUGAAAUUGAACUCGCUGUGAAGAUGCAGUGUACCCGCGGCAAGACGGAAAGACCCCGUGAACCUUUACUAUAGCUUGACACUGAACAUUGAGCCUUGAUGUGUAGGAUAGGUGGGAGGCUUUGAAGUGUGGACGCCAGUCUGCAUGGAGCCGACCUUGAAAUACCACCCUUUAAUGUUUGAUGUUCUAACGUGGACCCGUGAUCCGGGUUGCGGACAGUGUCUGGUGGGUAGUUUGACUGGGGCGGUCUCCUCCUAAAGAGUAACGGAGGAGCACGAAGGUUGGCUAAUCCUGGUCGGACAUCAGGAGGUUAGUGCAAUGGCAUAAGCCAGCUUGACUGCGAGCGUGACGGCGCGAGCAGGUGCGAAAGCAGGUCAUAGUGAUCCGGUGGUUCUGAAUGGAAGGGCCAUCGCUCAACGGAUAAAAGGUACUCCGGGGAUAACAGGCUGAUACCGCCCAAGAGUUCAUAUCGACGGCGGUGUUUGGCACCUCGAUGUCGGCUCAUCACAUCCUGGGGCUGAAGUAGGUCCCAAGGGUAUGGCUGUUCGCCAUUUAAAGUGGUACGCGAGCUGGGUUUAGAACGUCGUGAGACAGUUCGGUCCCUAUCUGCCGUGGGCGCUGGAGAACUGAGGGGGGCUGCUCCUAGUACGAGAGGACCGGAGUGGACGCAUCACUGGUGUUCGGGUUGUCAUGCCAAUGGCACUGCCCGGUAGCUAAAUGCGGAAGAGAUAAGUGCUGAAAGCAUCUAAGCACGAAACUUGCCCCGAGAUGAGUUCUCCCUGACUCCUUGAGAGUCCUGAAGGAACGUUGAAGACGACGACGUUGAUAGGCCGGGUGUGUAAGCGCAGCGAUGCGUUGAGCUAACCGGUACUAAUGAACCGUGAGGCUUAACCUU
rnacentral:rRNA from 1 species